ACCCUAUCAAUGUUGCCUCUGCU
rnacentral:miRNA from 17 species